UACGAAGGGGGCAAGCGUUGUUCGGAAUUACUGGGCGUAAAGGGCUCGUAGGCGGCCCUCUCAGUCGGAUGUGAAAUCCCCAGGCUUAACCUGGGAACGGCAUCCGAUACUGGAGGGCUUGAAUUCGGGAGAGGGAUGCAGAAUUCCAGGUGUAGCGGUGAAAUGCGCAGAUAUCAGGAGGAACACCAUGGCGAAGGCAGCUCGCUGGGACGUGACUGACGCUGAGACGCGAAAGCGUGGGGAGCAACAGG
rnacentral:rRNA from 1 species